rnacentral:rRNA from 1 species
GACGAACGCUGGCGGCGUGCUUAACACAUGCAAGUCGAACGGAAAGGCCCUGCUUUUGUGGGGUGCUCGAGUGGCGAACGGGUGAGUAACACGUGAGUAACCUGCCCUUGACUUUGGGAUAACUUCAGGAAACUGGGGCUAAUACCGGAUAGGAGCUCCUGCUGCAUGGUGGGGGUUGGAAAGUUUCGGCGGUUGGGGAUGGACUCGCGGCUUAUCAGCUUGUUGGUGGGGUAGUGGCUUACCAAGGCUUUGACGGGUAGCCGGCCUGAGAGGGUGACCGGCCACAUUGGGACUGAGAUACGGCCCAGACUCCUACGGGAGGCAGGAGUGGGGAAUAUUGCACAAUGGGCGGAAGCCUGAUGCAGCAACGCCGCGUGCGGGAUGACGGCCUUCGGGUUGGAAACCGCUUUCGCCUGUGACGAAGCGUGAGUGACGGUAAUGGGUAAAGAAGCACCGGCUAACUACGU